rnacentral:rRNA from 1 species
AAACGUUCCGGUUACGUAUUGCUGUUCGAUCCUGGCUCAGAUUGAACGCUGGCGGGAUACUUUACACAUGCAAGUCGAACGGCAGCACGGACUUCGGUCUGGUGGCGGUGGCGAACAGGUGAGUAAUGUAUCGGAACGUGCUAGUAGCGGGGGAUAACUACGCGAAAGCGUAGCUAAUACCGCAUACGCCCUUCGGGGAAAGCGGGGGACCUUCGGGCCUCGCACUAUUAAACGGCCGAAUAUCGGAUUAGCUAGUUGGUGGGAGUAACGGCUCGCAAGGCGACGAUCCAUGUAGCUGGUUUGAGAGGACGACCAGCCACACUGGGACUGAGACACGGCCCAGACUCCACCGGGAGGCAACGGUAAGGGGGUACGGACAAUGGGGAAACCUGAUCCAGCCAUCCCGCGUGUGCGAUGAAGGCCUUCGGGUUGUAAAGCGCUUUGGCGGAAAAACGGCACGGGGCCAAUACCCGUGCAACUGACAGCACCUGCAGAAUAAGCACCGGCUAACUACGUGCCAGCAGCCGCGGUAAUACGUAAGUGCAAGCGUUAAUCAGGUGCUGGGCGUAAAGCGUGCGCAGGCCCGGUUCCGGAAAGAAAGAUGUGAAAUCCAGAGCUUAACUUUGGAACUGCAUUUUUAACUACCGAGCUAAGAGUGUGUCAGAGGAGGUGGAAUUCCGCGUGUAGCAGUGAAAUGCGUAGAUAUGCGGAGGAACACCGAUGGCAGAAAACAGCCUCCUGGGAUAACACUGACGCUCAUGCACGAAAGCGUGGGGAGCAAACAGGAUUAGAUACCCUGGUAGUCCACGCCUAAAACGUGUCAACUAGCUAUUUGGGGGCCUUCGGGCCUUGGUAGCGCAGCUAACGCGUGAAGUUGACCGCCUGGGGAGUACGGUCGCAAGAUUAAAACUCAAAGGAAUUGACGGGGACCCGCACAAGCGGUGGAUGAUGUGGAUUUAAUUCGAUGCAACGCGAAAAACUACCUACCCUUGACAUGUCUGGAAUCCCGAAGAGAUUUGGGAGUGCUCGCAAAGAGAACCGGAACACAGGUGCUGCAUGGCUGUCGUCAGCUCGUGUCAUGAGAUGUUGGGUUAAGUCCCGCAACGAGCGCAGCCCUUGUCAUUGGUUACGCUACGAGGGCACUCUAAUGAGACUGCCGUACGACAAACCGGAGGAAGGUGGGGAUGACGUCAAGUCCUCAUGGCCCUUAUGGGUAGGGCUUCACGUCUUACAAUGGUCGGGACAGAGGGUCGCCAACCCGCGAAAGGGAGCCAAUCCCAGAAACCCGAUCGUAGUCCGGAUCGCAGUCUGCAACUCGACUGCGUGAAGGAGUCGAGGAAUCGCUAGUAAUGCGCGGAUCAGCAUGUCGCGGUGAAUACGUUCCCGGGUCUUGUACACACCGCCCGUCACACCAUGGGAGUGGGUUUACCAGAAGUAGUUAGCCUAACCGUAAGAGGGCGAUUACCACGGUAGGAUUCAUGACUGGGGGUGAAGUCGUAACAAAGGUAA